GUAUCAACACGACCUUUGUCUUCAGCCACCAUAGGCCGAAGUCAUUAUUGCCCGUAAAUUUCUUAGCCUCAAACUUUGUUAUUGUUGACAUCUUGCUCCGAUCUACCCACCGAUAUCACCUCUUCCCACAGAUGGCGCCAUUUGUUGAAAUUAACCGACACAAGAUUGACAAGUGGUAACCCAUAAAACGAAUCUGAAAACAAAGAACACACAACACA
rnacentral:lncRNA from 1 species